rnacentral:rRNA from 1 species
GGAAUCUUCCACAAUGGACGAAAGUCUGAUGGAGCAACGUCGCGUGAGUGAAGAAGGGUUUCGGCUCGUAAAACUCUGUUGUUAAAGAAGAACAUAUCUGAGAGUAACUGUUCAGGUAUUGACGGUAUUUAACCAGAAAGCCACGGCUAACUACGUGCCAG